AUGAACGCUGGCGGCGUGCCUAAUACAUGCCAGUCGAGCGAACAGACGAGGAGCUUGCUCCUCUGACGUUAGCGGCGGACGGGUGAGUAACACGUGGAUAACCUACCUAUAAGACUGGGAUAACUUCGGGAAACCGGAGCUAAUACCGGAUAAUAUAUUGAACCGCAUGGAUCAAUAGUGAAAGACGGUUUUGCUGUCACUUAUAGAUGGAUCCGCGCCGCAUUAGCUAGUUGGUAAGGUAACGGCUUACCAAGGCAACGAUGCGUAGCCGACCUGAGAGGGUGAUCGGCCACACUGGAACUGAGACACGGUCCAGACUCCUACGGGAGGCAGCAGUAGGGAAUCUUCCGCAAUGGGCGAAAGCCUGACGGAGCAACGCCGCGUGAGUGAUGAAGGUCUUCGGAUCGUAAAACUCUGUUAUUAGGGAAGAACAAAUGUGUAAGUAACUAUGCACGUCUUGACGGUACCUAAUCAGAAAGCCACGGCUAACUACGUG
rnacentral:rRNA from 1 species